CGCCACGCGCAGUCUCGCGUUGGCAGCAGGCGAGAGCGGACAGCGACUCGUGGGGGUGAGAGGUUCGCGUCUGGCUCGCCGCUGCUCCGCUGUGACUGGAGUGGUCUGUACGCUACGUUAUUGUGCACCGCGCUAGCCUAGCCGUCAUCGGGACACCACCAUGAGUCCGGACGGGAGGACGCGCACCAAGCACCAGCCCAGGGGGAUAGUGUCGGCCAUCACGAGGUUCCUUAAGAUCGGCACCAUGGCCAAGAGGAAGAGAGUGGCGACUGCAAACCCAGGAGCCAUGCCCCCAGUGAGCGUGUCAGUGGCAGUACCGGUGGCAGUCGGGGGUGGCGGAGGCGGUGGUGGCAGGGUGCCCCUACAGGAGCCUCCGGCUGCAGCCUCACCGCCACAAGGGCAGGGCAAUGCUGUCCCCACCGUCAAGCGCACGCCCAAUGAUUUCAUCUUUGGCAAGGCAAUUGGCGAGGGUAGCUUCUCGACCGUCUACCUCGCCAAGGAUAUCCACACCGGCAACGAGUAUGCCAUAAAAGUUUGCGAGAAGCGUCACAUAAUCCGUGAGAAGAAGACGGAGUAUGUUCAGCGAGAGAAGGAAGUGCUUCACAUCUUGAGCUGCAACAAGAAGACCUCUGCUCCAUUUUUCACCAAAUUGUACUGCACCUUCCAGGAUGUGGAACGGCUCUAUUUUGUGCUAACAUAUGCGAAGAAUGGUGAAUUGCUACCGCAUAUAAACAAAGUUGGUUCAUUCGAUAUUGCGUGUACGAGAUUCUACGCUGCUGAGAUUUUGCACGCUUUGGAACACCUGCACAGUUUGGGCAUUAUCCACAGAGACCUAAAGCCAGAAAACAUUCUUCUGGAUGAAAGAAUGCAUAUCCUCAUUGCAGAUUUUGGCUCUGCCAAGAUUGUUAAUCGGAAGGAAGUGGAAGAUCAAAACAAGGAUAACCCUAACUUCCGUCGCCGCAACAGUUUUGUGGGCACAGCGCAGUAUGUCUCACCUGAGCUGUUGACUGACAAGUCGGCCUCCUACAGUUCGGAUCUCUGGGCCCUUGGUUGCAUCAUAUACCAGAUGGUGGCUGGACUCCCGCCUUUCCGAUCAAUGAGCGAGCACCUUAUAUUCCAGAAGAUCGUGAAGCUGGAGUAUGUGUUCCCAGAUGGUUUCAGUGCUCCAGCCAGAGACCUGGUGGAGAAGCUACUGGUUCUCGAUCCUGUGCAACGGUUAGGGGCUCGUGACAGGCCUGAGGAUGGGCACGGGUACCCUUCAUUGAGAGCACAUCCGUUCUUCAAGGGAAUUUCUUUUGAAUCGCUGUAUCUGCAAACACCUCCGCAAAUCUACCCCUACCUGCCGGGAACGUCAGAGCACGAGGAAAUGCGGAGCCACUACAGAGUGCCAGACCACUUGGAGCCUGGGCUGGACGAUCGACAGCUGACGCGGCUUCUCGGCCUCGACCUGAGUGGCGCGGUGGAGCCCGUGGCGGAGAGCCCUGCGGAAGACGGGAGAGAGUCGCAGACUGAGCAGGAGGGCCGGCCGCAGGACGUGCCUGCGGAGCAGCAGCAGCAGCAGCAGCAGCAGCGGCGGAAGCGCGCCGUCACGGACCUGUCCCUGGCAGAGGUGCACCGCCGAACGGACCUGCAGGCGAAGGAGAGCAAGUGGCACAAUCUGGUGCAGGGGAACCUCAUCCUCAAGCAGGGGCUCGUCGAUAAGAGGAAGGUGCUGACUGCUCCGAUUCCAUUUGUGCCCGCUGUUAACAGGGGCUGUUCGCGCGGAGGCGGAUGUUGCUGCUGACUCUCGGACCUCACUUGUACUAUGUGGACCCAGUCAACAUGGUCCUCAGGGGUGAAAUUCCCUGGAGCCCUGAGCUGAGGGUUGAACCAAAGAAUUUCAAGAUAUUUUUUGUACAUACGCCGAACAGGACCUACUACCUGGAAGAUCCAGAAGGCUAUGCCCUGGAGUGGUGUAAGGCCAUAGAGGACGUUCGGAUACACACGUAUGGUCUACAAUCGUAGAAGAUUAGUGUAGUGACUUGGAGUGCAAUCCGAAGGCUACAAAGACUCAACUUCGGGUUGUAUACCCUAGGCAAAUUUCAUUUGUGAUCUUUAAACUGUUUUUUAACUCUUGUUGGAAGUGUUGAAUGGUUACAUAAGAGUUUAAACAGAUGAAAAACUAUUUAAAGUGUUAGUGUACGAACACAGUGGAGAUUCCUUCAACGUGAGACUUUUUUAAGUGACUUUGGAGACUGCAGUUGACUGAGCAGCGUUAAUUUUUCAGUGCGAAUGAAUACACACGUGUGUGUGUGUGUGUGUGUGUGUGUGUGUGUGUGUGUGUGUGUGUGUGUGUGUGUGUGUGUGUGAUAGUAGUAAGACUGUUUUUUUUUAUUUUUAUUUAUACGUUUUCCUAAGUAGUGACUGGAGAGAAUGCAGAAGAUGACCAUUUUGUAUGUAUUGCUGUAGCAUAUGUGUUAAUUUAUUUACAUUUUAUAGUUAGCUGAACUGCAAUAACGAAAGAGGGCCUUCACAGUCUGUCACAGGUUUUUAUAAUGUUUGUGAUCUCCCUUCACUUUCACUAUUUAUGCUCUUGUUUACUUUUGUGACACAGUUUUGUGUUGGACACUGAAUAAUACAUUGUGGCAGAAGCCACCAACUGUCAGUAUUACUCUACUGUAUGUUAUUCGAGUGAAGAACUUUUUUGUUUAUUACUUCCUAACUCAAUUAAGGUUGUAUAUCUAGUUUUGUGCUGUGUCAGUAUACUGUCAUGUAAACAACUUAAUUUAUAAAUACAAUGUAUUCAAAUUUA